UCUAUACUUCCGCCGUCCAACAAAGAUGUCUCAACUUCGACUAAAUUUAAAUGCAUCUGUACACUAAGUCAUGUCUAGAUGCAUUCAAAUUUUGACAAACUUGAGACAUCUUUUGUGGACGGAGAAAGUACAAG
rfam:Brachypodium distachyon strain Bd21 chromosome 3, whole genome shotgun sequence.